rnacentral:lncRNA from 1 species
GGUGUUCUUUCCUCUGGCUACAAUUAGCUUCCACAUUGCAGGGGACCUUGGGGGUUGGGGGGUGAGGAGAAAGAAGAGAGUUUUCCAAAGCAAGUUAAUCACAAUGGAUCAUGGCCAUGGUAUGAAGAGGAAAUGGAUAUCAUUUUGAAAGCGAACUGUUUGGAGAGAAGGCACCAUGAAGAUUCCUCCACAAACCACACACUGAAGCAGAAGAUCCAGAGUGAAUUUUGGGAUGUGGUCA